AUUGAUGUAGCUUUCGUGGACUUGAUUGCCGAAGAGACACGUCUUCGAGUUUUGAGUUCCUCUGUUUCUGUAAUGCCUAAUAUUCUUGCUGCUCAUGGUCCUGCUACUCCACCUCCUAUGCCGGCGCCUACUUCUCAUCAUCAACCAUCUUCUAAUUACAUCCCAAAUCUUGGUACUAGAAAAGACAAGCGGAGCAUUCAUUGUCGUUAUUGUCAUCUUUGGGGCCACUUAAUUCAAGAUUGCCGUUAAAAGAAAUAGGUAGAUCAGCAUUUGCGAUCCUCUUAUGGUAUGCCUACUGUUGCAUCUGCUCCUUCUAUUCCUCUGGUCAACAAUGCGUUAUCUACAGAGCAGCAACCUUCGACUAUUCAAUUGAGUCUUCCUCAACUAUUGCAGAUGUUUCAGCAAUCCCAAUUAACACCAUCUACUUCGUUAGGACAGUCCUUUGUCUUUCCGUCUACGCCAUCAAGCUUUGGUAUGACUGAUCUUGGAGGUACUUUGGAGCAUUCCUUGAUUUUAGAUUCAGUCGCAUCAUUUCAUAUAACACCACAUGUUUUUUUAGUUUCUUCACCUUCUCAAUUUAAUUCACCUUCACAUAUUUUUACUGUUGAUGGUACCUCUCUUUCUGUCAAUCAUAGUGGCACUAUUUCACCUAAAAUUGAUACUUCAAGAUGCUUUAUUAUUCCCUCUAUCAUACAUAUAUCACGACUCUCUCUUAAUUUAUUAUUUAUUAGCCAAAUUACUAAUCAUAACUGCACAGUGACCUUUGAUUCAUCUUAUUGUCAUGUGCAGGAUCGUCGGACCGGGACUUUGAUUGGACAGGACCAUAGACGUGACGGUCUGUAUUAUAUGGACUAUUUGUACCUUCCUUCUAAAAUUAACUAUGCGAAUAUUGCUACAACUCCAACUUCCAAUCUUCGGCAUCGUUGUCUCGGUCAUAUCUCUUUUGAUAAGUUUAGUGUUUUAGUUCGUCGUGGUGGAUUAGGCUCUGUUUUUAAUUCUUAAUCUAUUUCUUGCAUUGGAUGCAAACUUGCUAAACCUUCCAUUAAACCUUUUCUUGUUAGCAAUUCCGUUUCAAGUGCACUAUUUGAUCUUAUUCACUUUGAUAUUUGGGGACCGGCACCUAUAUCAACCCGUGUUGGAAAUAAAUAUUAUGUUAUUUUCAUUGAUGAUUACUCAUGUUUUACCUGGAUUUAUUUUAUACAUAACAAAUCUGAACCUUUUCAAUUGUAUCAAAAUUUCUCUAACAUGUUUCAAACUCAAUUUGGUGUCACUAUUAAAACUUCUUGCUCUGAUUCUGGUGGUGAGUGUCUUUCGAAUGAAUUUCGUCAAACUUUUUGCUAAAUAUGGUACUUUGCCGCAACUUUCUUGUCCUUAUACGCCUUAAUAGAGUGGUGUUGCUGAGUGUAAAUAUCGACAUGUCCUUGAAACUGCUCGCUCUCUUCUAAUUGAUGGGCCUGUGCCUAAACAAUUUUGGGCUGAUGCUAUUUCUUUCACAAUUUAUUUGAUUAAUAUUAUGCCCUUUGGUAUGUUCUCUGGCAUUUCCCCUAGUGAGAGAUUGUAUGCUAAUUCACCAUCUUACUCAUUUUGCAUGUUUUUGGAUGUACUUGCGUUGUUCUCCUGCCCCUGCAUAAACAAGCCAAACUAACUCAAAAAUCCUCUAUUAAUUUGUGUUUUCUUAGGACAUAGUAUUUAGCAUAAAGGAUACAAAUGUUAUGAUCCUACUGCUCGUUGUAUGCGAAUCUCUCGAAAUGUCAUUUUUCUUGAACAAUUACCAUAUUAUGCUCAAUCCAAGUUAAGUGUUGAUCCCUUUGUCGUUUUAUCACCUUCUGUUGUUGAUCUUUCCUUCCUUGUUAUUCUUCCUCGGCCACCACAUUUUCUCCUGAAGAGCCCCAACCUAUUGACUCUGAGCCUACUACGUCUUCAUCUUCUGCAGAACUUCCUAUAAUACCGGUACCUCAUGACGUACGACCCACCAGUUACUGUUCCAUUCGACGAUUUGACGACGGCUGAGCGUCACUAUCCAUUGUGUACUAAUCACCCCGCGAAAUGUUUUGGUUGUCUUACCUCUCCUUCCUUUUCUCCACGAUAUCAUACUUUUCUUGUGGCUAUUUCUAAUAUCCAAGAACCACGUACGUACUGUCAAGCCGUCUCCAUUCCUGAAUGGCGGGACCCAAUGACCAUAGAACUUACUGCUCUUCAUCGUACUGGUAUUUGGGAACUAGUUCCCCUCCCGCCUGGCAAGACUCUGAUUUGUUGUAAGUCAAUAUAUAAAGUCAAGACAAAUUCUGAUGGUUCAAUUGAUCGCUAUAAGACUCGUUUAGUUGCUCGAGGGUUCUCUCAAGAAUAUGGCAUUGAAUAUGAGGAGAUGUUUGUCCCUAUUGCUAAGAUGAUCUCUGUUCAUGUCCUUAUUGCUAUUGCUGCUUCUCGUAGUUGACCUCUUUACUAACUUGAUGUUAAAAAUGCCUUCUUACAUGGCAAUCUUUAUGAAGAAGUUUAUAUGCAACCACCUCUUGGUCUUUCCCAUCCAUCCAGUCAUGUUUGUCGACUUCGAAAAGGCUUUAUACGGUCUUAAAUAAACUCCUUGAGCUUGGUUUGAAAAAUUUCAGUCUGCUAUUAUUUCUUUUGUAUUUCAUCAAAGAAAAAAAUGAUUGUCUUAUUUAUUCACACUUUUGCUCAUGGGCUCACUGCCUUACUAUUGUAAGUUGAUGAUAUGAUAAUUACCAAUGAUAAUCUUGAUUGUAUUUAUUCUGUUAAAUCCUAUCUUCAGCAAUAAUUAGACAUGAAAGAUCUUGGCCCUCUUCGAUAUUUUUUGAGAAUUGAAGUGGCUUAUAAUGUUCGAGGAUAUAUAUUGUCUCAACAAAAAUACAUUGCUGACUUGAUAUCUCGUGCUAGGCUCACCGACAUCGACACUGUGCAUACUCCUAUGCAGCUCCACCAAAAACUAACAAAUAUGGGCGAACCUUUCACUAAUCCUACCCGUUAUCGUGAGCUAGUUGGUGCGUUAGUAUAUCUCACUAUAUCUCACCCAGAUAUUGCUUAUGCGGUCCAUAUUGUUAGCCAAUUUAUGCAAGCACCUACUUCUGUUCACUAUGCUGCUCUUUUACGCAUCUUGUGCUAUUUGCGAGAAAGUAUUAGUCAAAGUUUAGUAUUUUCUUCCUUUUCCAAGCCUCAACUUCAUGCCUAUUGUGAUACUGAUUGGGUUGGAGAUCCUACUGAUCGUCAGUCUACGACUGGCUAUUGUAUUUUCUUUGGAGAUUCUCUAAUUUCCUGGCCGUCAAAGAAAUAUGAUAUUGUUGCCAAAUCUAGUACAAAAGCUGAAUAUCGUGCUACGUCCUUUGCCGCCGCAGAAAUUUUAUGGCUUCGUGGACUCCUCGGUGACCUAGGUGUCCAGUGCUGUACUUCAAUACCUUUAUAUUGUGACAAUCAAAGUGCGAUCAAAAUUAUGAAUAAUCUUGUCUUUUAUGAACGUACUAAACAUAUCGAAAUUGAUUGUCAGUUUGUGCACUAUCAUUAUAUUAAUGGAACAAUAUCUUUGCCAUUCGUUCCCUCUGCUCAACAACUUGCCCUUUUUUUUUACCAAAUCUCAAACUAUUCAACGUCAUCAAUACCUUCUAUCUAAACUCUCAGUAUUUAUUCCACCUUGAGCUUGCGGCGGGGGUUACCUUAUAUAAAUAUUUGGUUACCUAAUUUUCAUUGUAUCUUUCUUUUUAUAGGAUAAUAGACAUUCCUUAUAUUAUUGUAUUCUAUAAUUCAUAUAUGAUUUACUAUGUAUUCGCUUGACUUCUAUUAUAUAAAGAGGUCUUUUGUAAUUUAUAAAAUCAGAUUCUUCUCCAAUUAUCUUUUGUUUCAAAAUAUAGUAUCUAAAUCGAUUUAUCGACUGUGUUUGAGAUAAUAUUGCAUGCAUCCAAUGCAACAUAUGAUAGUACACAAUAAUCUUAUUUCAAUUAUUUUUAUUUUUUUGUAAAUAUAAUUUGAAAUAAAAAAAAAUUAAAUUAUUGGCCAAUAGUGAGCCAAGUAUAAAACAUGACAAAGAUAAUGACCUGCACUGUGCACGACCCACAUGGUGCAAUAAUUGCUCGGAACAUUAAUUCGAUGCAUAUGCUCUGAACUGCAAACAAAACUACUUAAUUACUUUCAAAGCUUCUGCGAUUACGUGCUCAAACUACGUGACACAUAAUAUUUAAAUCCUUUUAUUUUAAUUUAUUAUAAUUUUUAGCUUGAAUUUUAAGAAUUAUUAUAAUUAAAUUUCACACUUCAAUUUAGUUAACUAAAUUUUAAUACAUCGUUGAUAUAAAAGCCUUAUGUCAUCUUAGAUAACAUUAGCACUACGCCAUUUCUACAUCAGCCAGAGAUCAAUAUUUAGCCAACUAAAUUCAGUUAUAGAACUUGAUUGCAAUAGUUCUGAAGUUUCCGUGAUUAUAGUUUGAGGGCCAAAUGCGUAAUUUAUCUUACAUGCCACUAUCAGUGCUAGAAUGAGAAAGUCUUGUACACGAAAGAGACUGGUAAAUUACUCGGUGAUGGUUCAAUUCCAUUCGCUCAUCUCACUUUUAAUUUUACUAAUUUCGCUGUAAGAUAUAUAGAACCUUUGACUCUAGAUCAAGAUAAGGGAAUACUUUUUUUCUUAGAGAUAUAUAGGCAGCAUGCUAUCUGUUUCGUAUAUUUUAUUUAAAAAUAAAUUUAGUUGGAAAUUCGAAUCAAUUAGAAUUCGAAUUUGAGACCUCAAAUAUCAACCACUAAAUUUUUUAUCACUUGCGUUAGAAACGAUGGAUGGAAAUACUUUUUUUUUUUUUUGAGAGAGAGAUAGGUAGCACACUACCCGUCUCGUUUAUUUCAUUUAGAAAUAAAUUUAGCUAGAAAUAUGAAUCAACUAGGAUUCGAACUUGGGUCUCGGAUAUCAACCACUAAAUUUUUUGCCAUUUGCUCUAGGAAUGACCAAUUUUUUUUUUUUAUUUUUGUGAGCGUAGACUUUAGUUAAGCCGCACAAUCUACUAAAAUAGAUAUAUAUAUAUAUAAUAAUUAAAAAAAGAGUUGUACAAUAUUACAAAGUAGCACAAAGGAUGCCAAAUAUAGAACGUACUAGGGGGAUACCCUAAGCAUUCGCCCUUUCCAAAAGAAACUCUGUGCAGGCGCACUGCAGGGGAGCAUUGAUGUAACAACCCCCAAAAAGGAGCAUGCAUCAGCGACUCGGCGACACCCCCACCACCGGGCACUACCCAACACCUGCAAAGCACAAAAGGGGACUCGCCAUCACAUGCAUUUGUCCUCAUCCUCCUCGUCCUCCUCCUCCUCGCCCCCAGAUCCAAAUCUAUCUCCCACACAAGCAACUAAUCAUACAACAGAACCCCCUCUCCUCCCCAUCCCCACCAAACCAAAAAACAAAACAAAACAAAAAAACAAACAAAAGGAAAACAACUUAGCUAGCUUAUAUAUUAUUAGAGUCUUAAUGUGAGAUCGAGCUCGGGCUCAUCCUCACUACUAUUUUGUUGGUGUUGGUGUUGGUUUUGGCGUGGUGGUGGGAGGGAUGGGUCGACGUUGGAGUGGUGGGGGUGGUGGUGGUGGUGGUGGGAGCCGCGUUGCCAGUUGAGGAGAUCGAAGAGCUCGUCGGGGCCGACGGGGGGGUCGGCGGCGGCGGACAUUGCGCGGUUGGAGCUGACGGAGGCGAGCAGCGGCAGGUGGGCGGCGAAGCGGGCGGUGCCGCCGGCGGCGGCGUAGGAGCUGUUGGCGUAGCCCCAGAAGCACGAGCUGCCGCCGUCGUACGCGGGCGGCGCCGAUCGGCACGAAUGGGAGGCGAGCUGGAAGGCGGUCGGCCCGGCCGUCGGGUAUGCAGGAGGGAGGUAGAGGUCGAGGUCGGACUGCAGGCCGCCGACGCUCCUCUCCUUCUUGUGCGCGUUCUGGUGUCCCCCCAGCGCCUGCGAUUUCAGGAACUUCUUGUUGCAGAACAGGCAGGGGAACAGCUUCACGUCCGCCCCGCGAUGAUCCUCCUUCUCCUCCUCCGCCGCUGUCGGAGAGCCCGCAGCAGACAAGGCGAGAGAGAGGCUGGGGGCGGAAGGUGGUGCUGGUGCUGGUGGUGGUUCCAUUUUUCUGGGUUUAGGGUUUCUAUUAUUAGCAACUCUAUGUAUUUAUGUGCGCGAAUAUACUUUGCAGGAGGAGUGAUUUACUAGUUUUCUGGACAGCGUAUAUAAUUGUUUUAUUAUUUCCCUGCUCUUCGUUGUCAAGAAGCAUUUAGGCCUCAUCUACAGUAGGAAAAUUUUAAGGGGGGGACCAUUCAUUCCAGCAGCUGCGGGACCAUAUAAGAGUGUAUUCUACAGAUCUAUUUGUUCCAACCCAAGCAGAUUUGAUUUCUUUGGAUUGAAUCAAAUUUAUUUUUGGCUGAGUUAGAUUUCAGAUAAAGAAUUUACUGUAUCUUCGCCGUUUGUUUCUACAGCUAUAGAAGUUGAGUUUUACCGGCUCUACUGUUUGUUCCGCACCGCAGAAAGUGAAUAACGUAAUAAAUAAUAAAUUAUAAAAUUAUUUUAUUUUCUGUAUUCUUGAUAAACUUACCUCUACUCUACUGUGAUAUUCUUCUCUCUCAUUUAACUUAAUAAAUAAUAAAUUAUAAAAAAUUAAUAAGUAAUAUAAUUAUAUUUCUAUACAAUUAUAAAAAUAAAAUUUAAAAUAAUUUUAUUAUUUUUUUGUAUAUAAAUGAUAAUAAUACAACAAAUAAAAUUCUGAAGUUAAAAAAUAAUUAACAUUUAAUAAAUUAAUUUCAUCGUUUAAAAUUUAAACGUGCAAAUUAAAUAAAAAGUAUAUUGAAACUUAACUAACCAAACUUCAUCAUAUUUUAAACAUACAAUCUAAAUAAAAAAUUAAUCACUACCAUAAUUAAAUAUGUUUGAAUAGAAUAUAAUUAGAAAGAGAGAGAAAGAGAGAGAGUAACCCUACAAGUCACCAUAAUUAAGUUCUUCACUAAUAUUUUAUAAUUUUUCUCUCUUCUUUCACUUCAUCGGUAUUGACUUCAUCCUAUAGAAGAGUAAAGUCAAUUUCGAUAUUUUGGGUGAACUGGAUAGCGAAAGUGAUCAAUUUUCGCUGAAAAUUAAUUUUUCGCUCCCCACUUACGGUAAAAUAAGCAAGCCCUAAACCGCACAAAAUAUUCUAACCUCAAAAAAAUGAAUUUACAAUUAAUACAGUGAUCGCGCACUACAGGGGUGAUCUCAGUAAACAGAUUAGCCCAAUGCUCGUUGAUGAUUUCUAUUGAUUUAAGGCUUUUGUGCUUCAUAUUCUACUUCUAUCUAUUUCUCCCAGUGACAUGAAAAAAAAAAAGAAAAAAUUUUAAAUACCAUCCUGUGAUUUCACACUUUCUCACUUUAGUAUCAUGUGAUUUAAAGUAUAUCAAUAUAAUAUCCUGUGAUUUUAUUUUUUUAUUAUCGUUUUUAUUAAUUUUUUCAUUAAAUUAGUGGCAAAAUUAAAACUAAAGGGUGCUAAAGUGAAUAUUCGAUAAAUAUAGGUAGAGUAUCUGAAGUUCUUUUUGUAUAUAAUUCAACGAAAUAUCAACAAAGAAGCUGAUGAAAAGAUAAAAAUAAAAUCAAAGAACACUAACUUAAUACACUUUAAAUCAGAUAAUACUAAAGUAAAAAAGUACGGAAUACAAAAUUGAGAAAGCAUGAAACCAGAAUGAUAGUAUUUAAAGUUUAUCCAAAAAAAAAAAAAAAGUGGUCGGCCUAAAAAUGAUUGAACCUAGCUAUAUAUCGUGCUCAAAAGUAGCUAGUGCGCCGGACACCAGAGGGUGUAAACAGGAUUGGAAGUGCGAAAGGACUGGGGCAUCGCUCAAAAAGAUGGGUGGGAACAGGAGCUACACAUUAUCACCCAUGAUGAGCUUAGGACAUUUGAAUUGGAUGUAUAAAACUUUACCUGAAACUUUAUAAUGAUUAUAUAUAUAUAUUAAUAGUAAAAUGUUCUUUUUGCUAUCAAAAUUUUAACUUUUGAAUGAAAAAUUAUAAGGUCAGAAUGAUAUUAGUCGGUUAGAGUUGAGUGGUCCCCCUAAGAUUGAGUGGUUCUUACUGGGUUAUACUAUUUAAUCCAAUGGUUAGAAAUAAUGAAAAGAGUUGAUCCAAAGGUUAAAAAACUGGUAGCAACAAUGGAAUUUUGCUACUAAUAGUAGCCCAGUCCAACUCUAUAUAUAUAUAUAUAUAUAUAUAUAUAUAUAAUACUAUAUAUAUAAGAGAGAGAGAGAGGAGAGAGAGAGAGAGAGAGAGAGAAGAGAGAGUGUGCGCCACUAUACUUUAUGAGUACAAUCACAUUUACUCAUAAGUUGUUUUCGAUGAUAGAGCUUCCGAAUCGACGAUCCACACCGUUAAACGUUAUCUAGAGCAUUUAAAACGUAUAGAAAUCAAAUUUUAUAAUUUUUCGACAUCAUUACCUUACGAUCAAGUAUCACAAAAUUGUCAAUUUUUAUCGGCCGUAUGAAAUAUUUAGUAGUAUAACAGUGUAAAAAAAUGAAAUCAGUUGAAUUUUGAUAGAAAUUUCCUAUUCACUAACUAAGAUAAAAGAUCAAUAACUCGAUCUUAAAUUGAAGGAUCCGAGUCAUCAUUUUUAGGAUGUUGUUCAUUUUGACGUCAUUUAUACCCAUUUGAUGGACUUUAUAAUGAUUUUGAAAAAUUACGAAACUUAUUUCUAAAAGUUUCAAAUACUCUAGAUCAUGUUUAACAGUUGGAUCGUCAAUUCGAAAAUUACAACAAGAAUAAUAUAUGAGUAAAAGGUAGCCCUACUAUAUAUAAAUAUAUAUAUAUAUAUAUAUAUAUAUAUAUAUAUAUAUAUAUAUAUAUAUAUAUAUAUAUUAUAGUAUAUUAGAGUGGAGCUAGAAUACUCCAAAGCACCAAGUGUGGUGCUUUAGAUUUUUAGCCUUUGGCCGAAGAGAUGGGAGGUUGAGAUGAUGAUGUAGGUGGAAUAAUGUUAUAUAUAUAUAUAUAUAUAUAUAUAUAUGCCAAUUUAUAUAAAAAAUUAACUAAUUUUCGCUUUGUAAAAUAGGCCGUCUUUUUCGAUUUGCAGAUUCAGACGCGAAUUUUCAGCAGCCUGAAAAGGGGCCGGGCUUUAUUAUAUAUAUAUAUUUAUAUUAUUAUAUAUAUUAAUAAUAUAUUAAUAUAUUAUAUAUAUAUAUAUAUAUAUAUAUUUAAUUAUAGAGUGGAGACUGCUACUCAAAGCCAUCGGUGGCUUGCUGUAGAGUUUUUAGGCCCUUGGCUGGGAGCAGCGGAGUUGAGGAUGAUGAGUAGGUAGUGAAAUAUAUUAAUAAUAUAUUAUAGAUUAUGCAUUUAUAUAAAAUUCAAUAAUUUUUCGGGUUUUGGAAUAAAUAGCGUCUUUUUUCGAUAUUUGCAGAUUCGAACGAAGAUUUUCCGUUGACCAAGAGGUGCAUUUAAGAUUCGUCAGGACUGUACGUUAGGAUAUACAUAUCUCACCGAAUACAAAAGAGGCAGAUGUAGAUGAUGGCAUUUUGGUUAGACGGUUGAAAAUCCGGUCCAAUCUGUAAAAUCGAAAAAGAUGAUCCACUUUUGCAAAAGCGCAAAACUAGUAAAUUCUUUAUACAAAUUAGCAUAUAUAUAUAUAUAUAUAUAUAUAUAUAUAUAUUACUUUUUAUAAUAAAAUCUCUACCGGAACAGCUUUUUUUUUUAAGAAAAAAAAAAAAUUGCGGCGUCCUAGACUGAAAAAACAGUCAAUGGAGCUUUUUUUUUAUUUUUUAUUCUGAAGAACAUUACGGGGGUGACAGAGUCAAAAAGCCUGGGUGCACAAUCCCUUUUUUAGUCCUCCUGCAAACACAAGGGCAAUAUGCCAAUGUCCAAUGAGUGAGCGAGAAAGUGUGGGCACGAGAGAGAGAGAGAGAGAGAGAGAGAGAGAUUGAGAGAGAGCAGGUGUUUUUCGUUUGUUUCACUAUAAAAGUGUAUUUGAUUUCAGUAAAAUUAUAAAAAAAUAAAAAAUAAAAAAAUUUAGUUAAAAAAAAUUUGGGUAGAAAAAUAGUUUUAUGUCGCUAGUGUGAGGAGUGGGUGAUUGGUCCACAUUUGGACCACUCAUGUGGUCCACAAAAACCAGGCUUUCUCGUGGACCGCAUUUUUUUUGAGCGGGGCGCGUUUUGGGAGCAAGUUUUCGUUUUCUGCCAGUGGUGGGCGAAAUUCAAAAAGUUGGUUUUUUUCGAGAAUUUGUACAAAAAAAUUGUUGGGAAAGUAAUUUUCGAUAAAUAUUGAGUAAUCAAAUAAGGGAAAACCACUUUUCAAGCAAAUUUUUUUUUUCCAAAUAGUUUUACAGGCAUUCAAAUACACCCUAAGUGGAGAGAAGGAAAGUAAUUUUCGAUAAAUAUUGAUUAUUUUCGCUAUUUGAUUUACCGUAAUGUUAGUACGGUCGAAAGUUCAGGUCAUCCAAAAUAUCAAAAUUUUCGUCGCUCUCGCAUGGGACGAAGUCUAUUCCGCUAGAGUGGAGAAAGGGGAAACAAACACAGUGGAGAACUUAAUUAUAGUGACUUGUUUAGUAUUAUUUUGUGAGAUAGAGAAGGGUAGCACGCUACUUGUUUCAUUCAGUAAGUAAAUGAAUUUAGCUAUAUUGAGUAAAGCAGCUAGGGCCUCAAGAAGACAGAGAGUCAGCACAAAAAAGAAGAAAAAAGAACAAAAAAGAAGAAAACAAAAAAGUCGAGCAGAGUAAAAACAAAAAAAAAAAAGCAUAAAAAACGAAGGGCGUAACAAACGCUGCCCUCACCCAGUUCUACAAAAAUCAGCUCACUUUUUCGCCAGUACUCUAAUACGGUGGGCAGUAGAAAUAGCGUUCAUAUAUAGGUUCUGAAAAAUAGCGUUUUUUCUUUCGUACCAGAUCAUCAACCUGUGACCCUUUCCCUGACAACUCCUCCCAGAUGAUGUUGACGUCCUCAAUGUAGGGGAAGAUGUGGGGGUCGUCGAGAAGCGAAAUCAAGAAGAACUUGCUAACAACACAGUCCACCAGCAAGUGAUCUACUGUCUCUAGAUCAACGGCGCACAGGACACACCUGUUAUUUCCUGACCAUUCCCUUUUGAUAAGAUUAUCCGUAGUUGGUAGUCUUUUUUUUAAGGCUAACCAAAGAAAAAUUUUAACUUUUAUUGGAAUUUUCAGUUUCUAGAUGGCAGGAGUCGCGACAUCUUUGACACCCCCAAUCCUGAUGAGCGAGUACACUGAUUUGACCGUAUAUUUAUUGCCAGAGUUCUAUCUCGAGUGGAUGCCAUUAGGUUGAUCAUUAACUCGAAAGUUAGUGAGAGUGCUCUUCAGCUCCCUAAUACUCCAUCUACUGAGUUGUGUGUUUCUUCUCACUCUCAAAAUCUUUCUCCACCUCCAUCUGGAGGCAGAGAAACAAUCACUCCCUCGCACUUAUUUAAGGUCAAUGCGAGAAUAAAUAUCUAGAAAGUAUGACUUAAGGGGUGCGUCACCACACCAUCUAUCGUUUCAGAAAUCAAUGAGUAGUCCUUCUUCCAGCCCGUAACUCAAGUCUAUUUUGAAAACUUCCUUCAAUUCUAACAUGUUCUUCCACCAUUGCGAGACUGGUCAAAAAGAUUCUACUAUGAAACAGUGGUCGCCUUCUGUUAUAAUAUAAGCCCUUAAUCAACUUAGUCCAUUAUAGUCCCUAUCAGUAAAAAAAUGCCACCACCAUUUAGUUACCAGUGCAUCGUUUAUGGUGGCCAAAUCCUUAACGCUUAAGCCUCUUUCAUUCCAACUAAUGCACACGUUUUUCCAAACAACCAAAUGGACAACCCCUUUAUAGCUCGCCCGUCCGUUCCAAAAAAAAUUCUUGCAUAACGUCUCCACACGUUUUAAAACCCAUUUUGGUGUUUUAAAAUUAGAGAAAAAAUGCAACGACAGGUUAGAAAGAACUAAAUUAACCAAUGUUAAUAUGUCACCUCUCGAAAGAAGUUUAGCCUGCCAACUGUCAAUCCUUCUCUAGAAAUUUUUAAUGACACUUACCCAAUCUUCUUUUUUAAGCUUCCUAAACAUCAAAGGUAGACCCAAGUAUCCAGUAGGUAAUUUCCCAAGUAUCUAGUGACUUGUUUUGAAUUACUCUUUCUUUAAUUAUAUUUCAUCCAAAUAUAUUUAAUUAUGAUUGUUCUUAAUUUUUUAUUUAGAUUGUAUAUUUAAAAUAUGAUGAAGUUUGAUUACUUAAGUUUCAAUAUAUCUUUUAUUUAAUUUUCACAUUUAAAAUACGAUGAAAACUAAGUUGUUAAAUGAUAACAAUUCUUUAACUUAAGAGUUUUAUUUAUUGCAUUAUUAUAAUUUAUAUACAAAAAAUUAAUAUAAUUAUUUUUAAUUUUAUUUUUAUAUGUAUAGAAAUAUAAUUAUAUUAUUUUUUAUUUAUUUUUUUAUAAUUUAUAAUUUAUUAAAUUAUAAAAUAGAUAAUAAUAUCAUGUAGGAGAUAAGUUUAUGAAGGGUACGAGAAUUAAAUAAUUUUCGGUAAAACAAACAGAAAAAACGGAGAACUGUACUUUUUACGUUAUUCACUUUCUGCCAAACAAAGAGUAGAAUUGGCAGAAUUUCAAUUUCACAACUAUACAAACAAGCAGCAAAAGUGAAGUAAUUUUUCACCUGAGCUCUAAUUCAACCUAAAGUUCACUUCACUUGAACUGUACUUAUGUUGGAACUACACCCAAUGGAAUUCGACGAGGUCGGCACGGCGGAGGUCGAAGUUGGGAGUCCAAGCCGUGCCGACGAAACCCGCCGUCCCCUGAAACGGAUUCGCGUGAGCAGGUCGCGUAGGCCCGACAAAAGUCGAGCUCCACAAUUCUGUCCAAACACCUGUAGCUGUAGCAUUGGUUACAAAAACUCGGCCACUUCAACUCCGGCUUCGAUCAAAACAGAUCCACCAAAAGAGAGAGAGAGAGAGAGAGAGAGAGUUUAGCAAGGAGAGUAGAGUGUGGAAGAGACGGAGAAUGUCUUAUGUGGCUGAAAUUAUUGAUUAAUCCAACUAAGAGAAAGGGAUUGAACAUGGCAUCUGAAAAAAAAAAAAAAAAGAAAAAAAAAAAAGUAGUGUCCUACAGUAAAUCCAUUGAAUUUGCCCCCAUGCCAACAGGCAUAGCACAGAGAUUGUCUCUAUAUGGCUAAAUUAUUGAUUAGUCCUAUUAAGAGAGAUUAGGAUCAAACAAGCACCUAGUAAGAAUUCGACACUUGCUCCGAUACAAGUAGGUGUAUCUAGCAAAGGGCACAAUAAAAUAAAAACUGGUUAAACAUUUUUUUUUUUUUUUGAGAGAGAGAUAUGUAGCAUGCUAUUCGUUUCGUUUAUUUCAUUUAGAAAUAAACUUAGCUGAAAAUAUGAAUCAAUUAGGAUUCGAACUUGAAACUUCAGAUACCAACCAUUAAGCCCUUUGCCACUUGUGCUAGGGCCUGUCAGUAAAACUAGUUAAGCAUGUUACCACCAUAAAAUAGUGUUAAUUACCUUACUUGUAUGAAAAAGAUUAAAUCUUUAUUGAGAUGUAAACUUUUAUUGAAAAUGUACGACUGGAUUCAUAAUUGAAAUUUGGAAUUGAAGUUAAAGCCUACUUAAGUAAAAUUCAGUGAAUGAAAAAAAUUAAUUUAAAUUAAAAAGGUUCAAUUAUAAAAAAAAUUUCUGUUAAUACCUGCUUUUUUUUUUUUUUUUUCCUGUCAUUCAAAAACCUUCACUUUGCCCCCUUAAAAAAUUAAAAAUGUUCACUUUGACCCCCGCCGUCAAUGUUCUGUUAGAGUUCUAUUUAUAUCCCAUUUUUAACACCAAAAUUAUUCCUGAAACCCGCUUUCUUCCUCAUCCUUGGCUGCGCCGCCUCGCCCACUGCCGCGGUGCCGCCUCGCCCACCUCUCUAUCCAUACCCCCACACACACGCCCACGUCCGCCUCUGCCGCCUCACCCUCGUCCUCGCCCAUCUCUCCAUCCACGCCACCGUGAAAAAAAUGAGGGACAAUUUGAUCAUUUUAUCACAGCAUAUUUCCCUGUGAACAUUUUUUAUUUUUUAACGGAUAAAGUACAAAUUUUUAAAUGAUAGGAGGCUAAAGUGAAAAAGUAGGUAUUGAUAGGGAGAUUUUCUGUAAUUUGAAUAAAUAGCUUGAAUUCAUAAUUUGAAUAAAUUAUUAAAAAUUGAAGUUCAAGUUGACACUUAAUUUUGCAAACAAACUUAGAUUUACGUCCAAAUAUGAACUUAAAAACUUAAUUCUUGAAUUCAAAUUAACAUUUUCAGCGUACACUUAAAAUUUAAACUUAAAUUUAAAUUUCUAGAGUUCACAAUUAAAGCUAAAAACAUAAAAUUGAAAUUACAAAAAGUUGAAAAUAAAAAUUUAAAAUAGAAAUAAGAAAUCAAAACUAACACCAAACCACCUUACUCCCAACAAACUCAACCUUUACAUGAACUUUUUGCUUUUGAUAACCAUUUCACGUUUCAACCAGCAGGUUGCAAUUUUUUUUUUUUUUUUUUUUUUUAAGUGAGACCUAAAAAAUUUGGAAUGGUUUUUAAAUUCAGUCAUAAGAUUGUACCAAAAUGCUAGACUUUUUUAAACAAUUGAUGUCAACAUUUUAGUUGGUAAUGUAAAUUACAAAUCUAAAUUCAAAAUCCAUAUUUAAAUUAAAAUUUUUUUUUUAAUUUAAAGCAGAAAUAUUUGAAUUUAUGUAAGAUAUAUAUCUAUUUGAGCAUGCUGAGUGAUAUUGGAAAGGCUAAAUAUAUGAAGUAAAUUUGUUUAUUAUUAGCGCACUACAUAGGAGCACUGCUCUAAACAUAUCUAUUGUAUUCCACUGAAUUUGCCUCUUUGUACUGGUGUAAUAUAGAACUUGUCACGCAGGAAUGAAACUCCUGUCUCUCAAUAUCAACGUUUUAUGAUUUUUUUUUUUUUUUUUUGAGAGAUAGGUAGCAUGUUACCCGUUUUGUUUAUUUCAUUUAAAAAUAAAUUUAGCUGAAAAUGUGAAUCAAGUAGGAUUCGAACUUCGGAGCUCAGAUACCAACCAGCAAUCCUUUUGCCACUUGUACUAGGGACGGUCGGUCCUACCAAAUGAAAUUCAAUAUGUAAUCCUAUCUUUACACUAGAACUUCGAAACGUUUUGAAAUCAUACUUUUAAACUAGCCAUUAGUUGCACGCUUGCGGAGGGAGCUGAGCCUAAAAAAGACACAGUUUAUGGCUGCAGGAGUUAUGUACUCCACAAGGGACUCUAGAGAUGUAACAACCUAGUUUCUAAUCUAUGUUAUGAUGGUAAAAUAUCUCAGUGUGAAGCUAUAUAUUGUGGGUUUGAUCCGAAUUGUGCUCGGAAUAACAUAGAAUUUAUGACCUUUCCGUCCUUAGAUAUGUUUGGCGAGAGUUCAGAAGUUGAUUAGAUUUGUCCCAAAAAAUAAAAAUAAAAAUAAAAGACGAAACACUGGGCCCAAUUUCAGUAAAAGCCCAUUAAGGUCCAGGUCAAAGAUAAUGGGCCGGAUUUAGUACACGUAAUUUGAGCAGAGGCUCAGAUCCGACCCAAAAAAAAUUUAAGUAAUGGCCGAGCACGAACUCUUCUUAUUGUUCUUCUUCUUUUUUGUAGUUGUAAAAUAUAAAUGGUCCUACAAAGGCAAAAUAUAAAAAAGUGUGCACAUUGCCCGAAUUUUGGCGCAUUUUGAAUUUUGGCAUCUAAACUUUUUGAAUUUUCCGCUGUUUGACAGUAUAGUUUAUAAAUCUUUUGAUAGAAAGUAAUAAAUUUUAGUAGAAUUUGACAAAGUUUUUUGAAAUAUAUUUAGAUCUCAAAAGAAAUAUAAGAUUAAAAAGCUAAAAUUUAAAAUUUUUAAAUUUCGGGCAUUCAUUUCAAAAUAUACUAUAGUUUAGGUAACGGCUAAGAAUGGUCUUAUUUGCUCACACUUAACAAAUUUCACACUUUACAACAAAUUAGAGCCCUAAGUGUUCUUUGUUUAGCAUUAACAAGGACCUAAUUAAUUAAAAUUAACCAACCACUCCAACCUCAUCUAAAACACAAUAUCCUUAAUAUUAAAAAGAGAUUCUCCUUAUAUCAUAUUUCCUAAUCCAAGUUGCUUGACCUCUUUCCGCCGAAUCGUUGAAGUUAAUCGUUUAUUAAUGUUAAACUAUGGUUGAUCUUUUUCUUCUUUGGGUCUAGAUAGAUUCAUUGAGAAUAUGAUAAGAGGAUGCAUAAUUCAAAAAGAGUAAAGAAAAAAAAAAGAAAAAAGAAAGAAUCCAUGAACAAAUAAAGGCAAGCAUGCAUGGAAAAAAAAAUGAAGAGCAAAAGUCUCUAGCUAUAUUCUACCUAGUGAUGGCUUAAGAGUCAAAUGGUUAGGUCAUAGGAAGGUAAGUUCCACCUAAUUAUAAAACCAAUUAGCAAAUGUAGGAAUAAGAUAGAGCUUAAUUGUUGUUUUAGGAGCUCAUUAAACACUAUAUAGGUAUAUUGGAACUCAUUUGAAAAGUUAAUUUGGAAGCUUACAUUAAUUGUAUAAUUGCAUGUUAAUUUGUUAUCUAAAACAAAAUGGCUUUCUUUUUCUUAAAAGAAAGGGAAAAAAUGAUCUAUGUUCUCAUUUGAUAAUUAAGUAUGCAAUUUGUCUAGAUUUGGUGCCUUUUAUAUGAAACAAUGGAUAUUGGAUUUUCACUUUUUAUAAUAUCUUUUCGCAAGCCAUACAACACCAAAUCAAACCCAUGUUUAACGAAGCAGCGACAUUUGAGAAAGUUUUGUUUAAAUGAUACCAUUAGAGAAGUAUUAAAUUAAACAUUCUUAAUAGUUUUCUUUUAAGGCAAAAUGAACAUCACUACAUUAUUUAAUGCCUACGCUACGACUUUUGUGGCUCACAAGCACUUUACAUAUUUCUCCUAGCCAAGUGCGCUACUGAAUGAACUUGAUAGCGAAAAAUAAAAGUGAGGCCACGCAAAUCCUAGUGCAUUUGUUUAUUAAGACAAUCUAAAACAUUUGAUAUACGUCGAAACAAGUGACAACGCACAAGUUGAAGUAAUUAACGAUCCUAAUGGAAACGAAAGUGCAACAAAUAGCUUUUAAAAACGUAUAUAUAGUGAUCUCUAAUUUGCUUUUUGUAUGACUAAAGUUAAAGGUGUUCACAUGUUCCAGGUUUAAGCCACAUAUAUAGAACAGUACAUAAGUACUAAGUAUAAAAUUGAUACAUUAUUAGGCUUAAAAGCAUAUCUAGACUAAGUCAUUCUUUUGACUUCUCACUUGAUGUACCUAAAAUGAACUGAUCAGUGUGUAGGGAUCAUAAGAUUGAGGUGAUAUUCUAACUAAUCACACCAUUAAUCACCACAUCGACGACUAAUAUACAAAUAAAAUAGGAGGUUAAUGGCUUGGAUUGUGCCGUUUUGGUACGCAUGGCAAAGCACUCUCUUUAACAAAAGCAACGAUUCACGACGCAAACUGAUAAACAUUACUAAGAAAGACUCAAAAUUAGUGCAAGAUAUAUGAAUUUGUAUAACUUGAAAAAAAUAUAGCAUAUUAUCAAACAGAUUAUCCACUUGAGCAUUUACCACAAAAUAUAAAGAUUUCGACGCAAUUUCUAAAUUGCAUUUACGUGAGUAGUACUUAGAGUCCAACUUGCGCUCCAUAUCGUGAUCCCAUGAUUCUUUGUUCUUGAAAUAAAAUAAAUCUAAAAAUAAUAAUAAUAAUAAUAAACAAAACCACAUUAAUUGUUCUAUCCAUUUUGUUUAUUCAUGUGUUUUAUGCGUGCAGUUUCAUGCGUAGAAUCUAAAACGUACUACAGAUUAAUUAUUUCUCCUUAAUUAUUUAUUAUUGACAAUAGUUUAGAGUGCGCGCCUAAGAUGCGAUCAUCAUAAUCUAAGUGACACAUCAUGGUAGUACACAAGGCACGUACACCACAUCCCAAUCAUAUUAAUUAGAAGGUUUGACCCUCAAAAUAAGGAAGAACAUGACAUAGUUAACAUCCUCCUAUGCUUGUUCCUUCUUAGAUUAGGAAGGAGAAAAAUCUAAGGAACUCGACCAAUAGGAAAUAGACAAGUGCCGAAAAGCGAAAAUAAAAUAACCAAAAAAGAAAUCCACAAGUUGAAAUAUUUUAAAUAGGCAAUUACCAGGUGUAUCUUACCUCGCGACGCCACGUGGAUAGUUUCGAUGGUACUAGAACUAAUGCCCAAGGGAAAAAACCAUUAAUGUAAUAAGAAUAAAAAUAAUGAUGCGCGCGUUUCAUAAUGGUACCAUAUACAGUUGAUAAGUUAAUUUUAUAUAUCUUUGAUAACUUAGUUUUAUAUACCUUUUCGCCUAGUUAUAUAUAUAUAUAUAUAUAUAUAUAUAUAUAUAUAUAUAGAGAGAGAGAGAGAGAGAGAGAGAGUUGGACUGUGCUAUUAUUAGUAGCAAAAUUUCAUUGUUGCUACCAGUUUUUUAGCCUUUGGAUCAACUCUUUUUAUUAUUUCUAACCAUUGGAUUAAAUACUAUAACCGAGUGGGGACCACUCAACCCUAGGGGAACCACUCAACUCUAACCGACUAAUAUCAUCCUGAUACUACAAUUUUUUAUCCAAGGGUUAAAAACUUGAUAGCAAAAAGUGUGUUUUACUAUUAAUAAUAUUCCGGCCUAAUUCUCUCUCUCUCUCUCUCUCUCUCUAUAUAUAUAUAUAUACUAAGUUGAGCUGAAAUACUAUAAAUAACAAACGGAUUUCGUUGCUAUCCAUUAAUUUUCGAUGAUAAAGUCUCCAAAUCGAUGAUCAGCACCGUCGAACAUGAUUUAUACUAUUUGAAAUAUCUUGAAAUCAAAUUUUAAAUCUUUCGACAUUAUUGACGUAAUAAUCAAAAGGAUACAAAAAAAUAUAAUUUUAAUAGUCAAUAUGAUGCAUUUUCUAAUUUAAUGGUGUAGAGAUAUCCAAAUUAAUUAAAUUUUAGUUAGAAAAUUUUUUAAACUAUUUAAACUAAGAUCUAUACUUUUGAUCUUGAUUACAAAAUUCCUAUCAUAAAUUUUUAAAGAAUAUUUAUUUUUAACUGUUCAUUUUUGUGUCGAUUUAAUAUCGAAAAAAUAUGAAAUUUAGUUUCUAGAUGCUUCGAGUAGUAUAGAUCAUAUUCAACGUUAUCGAUCGUCGAUUUGAAAGCUACAUCAUCAAAAAAAAUGAAUAACAAAAUUAAAGUCUGUUUGGUACUAAUAGCAUUCCAGCUUAUUUUACGUAUAAAGAAGGCCACUUCAUUUUUGGGCACUUUUUUGAGUUGCCCAUAGUAAACAAAUAAUAAAUGGGAGAUGAGUGAAUUUUAAAAAAAGGUAACACUUGCCCACUAAUGAUUGGCCACUUAAUUAAAAUUAGAAAAUCUAUUGACCUUCCUCUAUCUAUGGGACACGUGAGGGUUUACAAUGCUUUCCAAAAUUAGUAGCGUGGAAAGCAAAAACAUGUAAAAAAAAACUAAAAAUAGUACUAAUAAGUAUACACAAUUACGUGGUAGGAGAGAAUAUGAGAUUUAAUUAUGACUUUGUUGUUCCACAAAUGAUGACUCAGGUGAAGCAAUGCGUGAGGGGUGACAUUCGCAUGGAUUGAAUAAUCAAGGAUGUGUUUACUCUGAUUAACUUAUGCUUAGAUCACAUUUAUUAUUAAUUUCGCUUCGUAGAUCUAAGAAUCUUUCUAUUAGAAGAUAGUAGAAAGACAAAGACAGGCGGAUCUGAAGGCACCGAAUACUGAACUUAAUUUUUAAAACUAAGAACGCUUAAAAUUGAGUCUGAUAUCGUAUUAUGUAUAAGAUCAAUCAUUAGGAAGCGUAUAGUCAAAGUUUAUGUAUAUUUUUGACUUAACAUCUGCGUGUGAUCACUGAUCGAUUGAUUCUCUCCAAAAAUGUUUUUGAAUACGACAUUUGGCAAAUUAGUAAAAAAUUAAAAUGAAAUUUUAGGUUCAAACAACAUUAUUCUUGCUUUUCAAGAUAGAGUUACUUUAGCAAUACAUUUACGAAAGCUCGAUCUAGGAGGUCAAAUUAAUAAAACUUCCGGAAAAAUCAAAUUUUCCUGCGCAAAAGUUAGAGAUAUGAGAUUUGAAUUAGACUUUUUUUAUGCCAAAAAAAAAAACCACUUAAUUUUAAUGUCUUUUCAUGCGAAAACUUCGUACCAAUUUUUGGCCAAAAUUAGGUGAAUGUAUAGUACAUUGGUAGGUACAAUCAAAAUCGAAAUAAUACGAACGAAUCAUUGUAAUAGUAACUAGUUGUAGGCCAAGGGCUUCUAAGAAAAGCGCUUUCCAUUUUUUAAAAAAAAAUUAUUUUUAUUAAGUAUUCUUUUUAGAGAUAGGUAGCACGCUAUCCGCUUCGUUUAUUUUAUUAAAAAAUAAACUUAGUUGGAAAUGUGAAUCAACUAGAAUUCAAACUUGGGUCUCGGAUACCAACCACCAAGCCUUUUGCCACUUGCUCUGAGGACAAGUAGUUUUUUUUUAUUAAGUAUUACGAUUAUAAUUAGUAGUGCUCGUUAAACUUCACUUUCCUAAUGGAGGAACAAUCUAGUACAUGGUCAUACUACACUCGAUGAACGAGUGGAUCGAAAAGCACUUUUAAAUUCGAAGAGAAGUGCUUUUAAAAACUAAUCACACGGAACGUGAGAUGUUAUUAAAGAUGUUAUUAAAGUGAUAUUAAGAACUGCGGCCAAUGUAAGCGUUACACCUCGCCAUGAUCCCUAUAUGCUAUAGUGGCAACCUCUCUCUCUCUCUCUCUCUCUCUCUCUCUCUCUCUCUCUCUCUAUAUAUAUAUAUAUAUAUAUAUGUGUGUGUGUGUGUGUGUGUGUGUGUGUGUCAUUUUUCUAUUAUAUUAAAUAAAUAAAAUAAUGUGUCUUACUGAGACUCGAUAACUACAGCAUUAAAUAGUUAUAAAGUUUAAUGAGUAUAUAUAAUUGAGCAAUGCUUCAAUACUCCGUUGUAAUCUUAGCCGUUUAUUUUUAAUCAAUGAAGGAUUAAGAUUUAUGCAUAAAAAAAGAUGACCUGCUAUUGCACAAGAAGUACCGGUCACCAGGUAUGUGAUUUAGGAGUGUUUUUGGAAAAAAAAGAGCUAAUAUUAAAAAAUUAAAUAACUAAUAUUGGAAAGUUUUGCAUACUACCCUUAAAUCAUGGAGAGAAUAAAUUUUUAAUUAAAUUAUCCAUUUUUAAAGCCGAUUUUAAUAAUAAUUUAUGAUCGCAUUUGAGUCAUAAAUUUAGUAAUUUAUAAUUUAAAAUUAAUUUUCAAACAUCGAAACUUUAUGUUUAAAUAGUUAACAAAAUUUUUUUUUAAGUAUAAUAUAAAUUAAAUCUAAAUUUAUAAUUUAAAUUUGAUCAAUAUUUUUGAAAUUUAAUGUUGUUUUUCAAUAUUGAAUUAACAAUUUCAACUUACUUUAAAAUGUAGAAAUCUUUUAUUUAAAUAAAUAAUAAAAGUUUAUAAAUACACUAUAACUUAAAUUACAAUUUUAAAGAUAGUAACAUUAAUUUUUGAACUUUCAUGUUAGUUUAAUAUUGAAUUGAUAAUUUGAAUUGAAAUGUUUACUCGUUUAAAUAUAAAUUUUUCUUUCUAAAAUUUAAAUUUAAUUUAUACAAUUAUAAAUACAAAGUUUAAACUCAAGUUAAAUUUUGAAUUCGAAUUUAUGAAGAUUUAUCACUUAUGAAAUUAGCCAUUAUCUAAGUUGGUAAGUAACAAAAUUAAAUUAGGAAAUGAAGAUUUGUUGGAUAUUAUCAAAUUUGGUAAUUAGCUAAUGCAUACUUUCAAAUAUUAUCUUUAUGAUUGAUUGGUAACCUGUCCAGCAGGUUACCAUUGUGUAAAAGUCAAUCUUAACCUCAAAAAUUGAAUGGUCGGAUUUAAAUUGGCCGGUGUAUGAAAGUAUUUCUCUAUAUAAUUAAUGAAAAAUUUUUGUUUCAGUAGCAAAUAAUAUUCUCUUUUUUUUUAACUUUACAAUUAAUUAGCAGUUAAUUAGAAUUGAACGAACAACCUCUAGGAGUCUUCGCAUAAUAAAAAUAUUUGAAAUUAUAAAUAAAUCGCAAAAGAAAAAUUAUGAAUUUGAAGUUUCUGGCCGCCAAUUAUGAAUUAUUGAGAAAUAACUUUUUGUUUUAUUUCUUUUUAUUCUACACUUGAUUAAGCUUUUUAAAAUUAGUGUUUUGAUUAUUGGCUUAAUUUGGUAGGAAACUUUUCCAAUAAGUUGUCGGUGUUUGAAUUAAUUAAGUCCAAACUUUUAAUAAGAAUAACCACAUAAAUUAGGAGCCCGAGGGACCUACAAAGGAUCAAAAAGGAGACAAAUUGCACUGCCACGAAUCAAGAUGUGACUAGCUCGGAGUCCGACUUCGUCAACGCGGAGUUGGCUUGACUCUUUUCAAAUAUUAGAGCAUUUUUCAGGAGUUAAAUAUUUUUUUAUUUAAAUUUUAAUGCACCAUUAGUGAAAAUCAAUGGCCUCAAACACACUACGAAAAAAAAAGUUAUCAUUUUUUUUUUUUUUUGGAAAAAAAGUUAUCAUUCAAAAACAAAAUGCAGUGUUGGAGUUAAAAUUGCUAGCGAUAUAUAUAUAUAUAUAUGUAUAUAUAUACAUGUAUAGAGCUAGGCGGGUAUACUAUCGGUAGCACGGAGGCCUCUAUGCUACCGAGUUGUUCUCAAUGAUGCGGCUUCCAAAUCGACGAUCGGCUCCGUUAGACUUGAUUUACACUAUUAAAAGUAUUUGGAAACUAAAUUUCAUAAUUUUUCGACAUCAUUUAUGAGUAUUGGCUUUCUCAUACUCUUAAGUUUUCGGCCAUUGGAUUUAUUUCAUUGAUCAUUUUUAUCAGUUAGAUCAUACUAUUCAACCAACUACCCACUCAACCCUAAUGGACCACUAUCAUUAUAAGUCGGAACCACCAUCAUUCUAACCACACAUCCCAUCAAUCAACGGUUAAAAAUUUAUGAGUACAAGAGGAUCUAUACUCAUAAGAAUAUAGUAGCCCCAGCCUAUAUAUAUAUAUAUAUAUAUAUAUAUAUAAAAGAGAGAGAGAGAGAGAAAACUUGACUUCUAUAUUUUCGAAAGUGCGGAUGCCUCCGCACUUAUAAGUUGUUUUUGAUGAUAAGACAUUCGAUUUGACGAUUGGUUCCGUUAAAUAUAAUCUAUGUUAUUGGAACCGUAUAAAAACCAAAUUUCAUAAUUUUUUGACAUCAUUUACCAAUUGAUCACAGGGUCUCAAAAAUGACUAUUUUAACGGCGACAUAGCAUGUUUUUAAGUUCAAUUGUGUAGAAGUAUCUAAAUUCCAUGAAACUUUAAAUUCUACUAACAUCAAGAAUAAGAACAACACUUCCAAUUUAAAAUUUGAGUCUUUUAUCGCUAUUUUUAUGAGAUUUUUAUUUUCAACCGUUUAUUUUGAGACUAUUCGUUUACUUGGCAAAUAAAGUUCAAAAAUUAUGAAAUUUGUUUUCUAGAUAGUUCCAAUAGUAUAGAUCAUGUUUAACGAAGCCGAUUCCCAAAUCAAAUGUCUCACCAUCGAAAACAACUUACGAACUCGAAGCCUCCGUACUUUCGAAAAUAUAGAAGACAUAUAUAUAUAUAUAUAUAUAAUAUUAGAGAGAGACGGAGAGGAGAGAGAGAGAGAGAGAGAGACGAGAGAGAGAGAGAGAGAGAGAGAGAGAGAGAGAGAGAGAGGUUGAGCUAUGAUACUUUUACAAGUAUCACCAUCAUGGUGCUAUUAGGUUUAAGCCAUUGGAUCUACUUUUUGAUUAUUAAUAGCCUUUGGAAUUAAACACAUAUUCCACCUACCAUCACCUACCACCAUCAUCUCAACCUCACAUCUCUCCAUCCAAGGGCUAAAAACACACAAGUAUCACCCCCAUGAUACUUUUACAAGUAUUCUAGCCCUACUCUAUAUAUAUAUAUAUAUAUAUAUAUAUAUAUAUGGUCCACUAAUUAAAGUGGACUCUUCUAAUUUUUCUUAUUUUCAUGACGCAUAUAUAAUAAGUUAAAAUUUUACAUUAUAUUUAAUAGGUUAAUUUAUUAUACUUUUUAUAUUUACUGUGUAGGUGAAUGAGAGUACUAAAUAUAUUCAAAUUCUGAGCUGUAAUAUGAUAUUUUUAACAAAAUUAUUGCUCAUUAGAAAUUUGGCAAGAUAUUUUUUCCAAAGAAAGUAUUGCUCAUUAAAAAAUUGACACUUUUCGCUUUUACGUUCCACGUCGAUUGUUGAAAACUAGGGCUCCCCACAUUUUUACAAUUCCGUGUACACUUUGGAGCACAAAUGAAUCCAUCUUAGCAUUAUUAUCACUAUUUUUAUUAACAUUUAUAUUAUUUUUUUUAGAAGCAUCAUAUCACAAGGUCGUCUUAAUCUAUGCCCCAGCUAACCAAGAGCUGUAACCACAUUUCAAGUAAAAAGAAAAAUUAAGGAGAGAUGUAACCAUCGACAGCUAAACAAGUUAUAAAUUUCACGCAAAGUAUAUAAAGAAGAUUAAAAAAAACAAAGAAACAAAAUAGAAACACCAUAUAUGUAAGGGGAGAGAAAAAAUAAAUAGAAACAUAUCAUCACUUUAUGUUUCCUAAAUUUUUAAAACAACAAAUUUACCCCUUUAUUUUUCAGAUGUUGUUUGUUUAAUCCUCUGUGAUUGAUUAGUCCUCGGAUCGGAUUAAUUUUUGCUGGAGAUAAAAACUUGGGCUGUAGAAAAGUUAAGUACAAGGACAAGGAUAGUUUUGAUAAAUUUAUAGAGUAGAGGCUACUAUACUUUUAUAAGUGUAGAGCUUUUUGUACUUAUAAAUUAUUUGUAAUUAUGUGGUUUCCGAAUCAACGAUUCAUGCUGUUAAAUAUGAUUUAAAGUAUUUAAAAUUUUUAAAAAUUAAAUUUUGUAAUUUUUUAAAAUUAUAAUAAAAUUCAUCAAACCAGCAUAAAAUGAAUAGUCAAAAUUGUACGACAUCCUAAAAAUGGAUGAUUAAAUUCUUUAAUUUAAGAUCGGAGUUAUUGAACUUUAUUUAGAUAGUGAAUAGAAUUUUUUAUUAAAAAUUCAAUAAAUUUUGAUUCUUUUAUAUUGUUAAACUAGCUAAUAUCCUUAUCUUUUGACUAUAAGAUAAAUGAUGUCAAAAAAUUAUAAAAUUUGAUUUCUAAAAAUUUUAAAUAUUUUAAAUUAUGUUUAAUAGUAUGGAUGGUUGAUUCAGAAGUUUAAUCAUCAAAAACGAUUUAUAAAUAUUAUUGUGAUCGUACUCAUAAGAGUAUAUUUAUUAAGCGUGUCAAGUAGUCAAGGUGACACGUCACGGUCGGAGUGGUAACCAAGAUUUACAUUUCGAUAAAAAUUUAAACAAAAAUUUAAAUUAUAGGCUAUUUUGAUUUGACUAUCCGACCUUUCCAAUUUUGAUUUUUAGCGCUGAACUAUACAAUUUUUGUAAAUAUAAAUUUUUAAAAAUAAAAAAUUAGUUUAUAUUUUAAAGCUAAAAUACCAUUGACUAAUCAAAAUCAAAUAAAGUGAACAAUUGCAAAGUAAAAUCAAAUUUUGGAAGAUCGAAUAUUCAAUUCAAAAUGAUUUAUAUCUCGGAUAAAUUUUGCACAAAUUUAUCUUAUAUUUAUUAUUAUAGGAGUCCGACUACGAUACUAUUGAUAGCAUCAAACACUUAGUUCUAUCACAUUUUCUGUCGUUAGAUUAACUCCUUUAACCAUUUUUCUCUGUUAGAUCAUAUUAUUCAAUCAACCAACCACUCAACCCCAGGGGACUGCUAUCAUCUUAACUGUAUAUCGCUUCAUCUAAGGGCUAAAACUUUAAUCGCACCAAUGACUUAUGCUGUUAAUAGUUGUUAAUAUAGAUUGUAAUAAUGGAUGUGAGAAAAUAACUUGAAAAAUUAAAAUUGAUAUCAUAUGAAUGGUCGUGUCUCUUUGAUAAAUUACUUACGAAAACGUGCAAGCACACACCCGUGCGCUUACACGCUUUAAGCUCACUACAGGGAAGAUUGGGGGAGCAAUCUUCCCUGCCUAUUCUCCUUGGGGAAAGAUAGACCUUUUCAUUUAAUGCAAAGAGAUAUCUCUUUUAUGAAAGAAUAUGUUUUUUCAUUAUUUUUGAAAUAGCGUGUCCUUUUGUGAAAAAAUAUAAUUUUAAAAAUUAUGUCCUUUCAUCGUAACCAUUCACCUCCUAUGAAUAGGAGAUAUUUGAAAACUUGAAGGAUAACACAAUUAAUCUUUCUUCUUUCUAAUUUUUUUAUAUUGAUUAUUAAGAGAGAAGUUUUUAAGGAAAAGUCUUCAAAAAUGAUGUUUGCAGUCUUUCGACGGUUUUGUUGUAUGCUGAAGGUGAUUUACUGGUAACCCGACAGCAUACAUUCGAGUGGGGACAAAUAUCACCUUAAAAUUAUUGAGGAAUAUGAAUGGAGAUCAAAUAAAUUAUGGUUUUGAGGCGUGUAAGUCAUCUCUUUGAUAAAUUAGUUAUGACAAGAUACGCCUUUUCAUUUGACGCAAAGAGAUAUAUCUUUUUACAAAGAGACGCGUUUCUUUACGAAAAGGUGAACCUUUUAUGAAAAAUUAUGUCUUUUCACUAUUUUUCAAAGGACGUGUCCUUUUGUAAAAAAAUAUAACUUUAAAAGUUAUGUGCUUUUAUCAUAACCAUGUACCUCCUAUAAAUAAGAGAUAUUUGAAGGCUUUAAGGGUACGUAAUACAAUUAAUCUUUCUUUUUCCUAAUUUUUUUAUAUUGAUUCUUAAUAGUAAAAUUCUUAAGAGAAAGUUUUCAAAAGUGUUGUUUGCAGUCUUUCGACGAUCUUGUUAUAUUCUGAAGGUGAUUUGCUGGUAAUCUGACAGCAUACAUUCGAGCGAAAAUAAAUAUUAACUUAAAGAAAAUAAACUUAUAUAUUUUAAGAUCAUGAUUUACUUAAUUUUUAUUCAAUAAACUUAUAUAUUUUAAGAUCAUGAUUUACUUAAUUUUUAUUCAUAUUCUCCAAUAAUAAUAUUUUAGCCUGGUUCUAUUAUAGAUAGACAUACUGAUAGCAUUUUUCGUCCAAAAACCAUGAAAAGGGUGAGGGCCUAAAAACCUACCCUACCCGCGUGGCGGCGUGUGGAGUCGUAAGCAGUGACACAUCACGGUCGGAGGGGUAGUGGACAACACUCGGAAUGUGUUCGAACCAUCUCGAGGCACCAGAGCACAACACGCCCAUCACUGCCACAUAAGUCCACGCCACUUAGCUGGUCAACAACCGUACUACAAGAAAUCAUAUGUUACUGACGUACGAUGCUUAACGCAGUUGGUUGAUAUUUUAAACCAUUAAUUAAUAAUAAUUAAUAAAUCGAAUAUUCAUAAUUGAUAAAAAUUUUGAUAAUUGGUAAUUAAGAUUUUGAGUUCGUAACCGAUCGUUGCUAGCGCAAGUGGCAAAUAACUUAAUGGUGGAUAUUCAAAGUCUCAAAUUUAAAAUCUAGUUGCUUUACAUUUUUCGCUAAAUUUAUUUUUUAAAAAUUAAACAAAAUAGAUAAUAUGCUAUUUUUCUCUCUCAAAGAAAAAGAUUUUAAGCUCAAUGUAUA
rnacentral:lncRNA from 1 species